rnacentral:lncRNA from 1 species
AUCAAGGGUGAAAGGUUGGGUUAAGGUAUUGAUAGUAAAAUCACUAUCUUCAUAUGGUUGACUAAAUUGGCCUUGUCUAUAAACACCUUCUUGUAUUUUGAUACCUUGCGUAGUAUGUUGUGGUUUUGUAUGUUGGUCAAAUGUUUCUUCUAGUGGUUUAGUCCCAGAGGUUUCUCCUACAAAAGGUCCUUGAUAAUUAGGAAGAGGAAUAGUAGAAUCUUCUGAUAUACUAUUAUCUGGUUGUAUCUCUAUACUAUGUCUUCUCCGAGAUGUAUCUAACGAUUGUCUAGAGGGUUGGUAUAUAUUAGGAGUUGCU